GACCUUUCUAAUUGAUGCUGUUUUUGAGACUCUGGUAGCCAAAGAAGAAAAUCAUUUUAGGGAUGACCUCUGGAUCCUUAAUAGCCACUGAGUCACUUGCUGAACCCAAUGCUGAAACUUCUUAGUGAGCGGGCGUUGUGCUGGGGUGAGGAAUAUCCAAGGACGAUACCAGCACAGCGGAGAUGAAACGUGGACCCUGUUCUCAGGGGGCUCAGUUUUUAAGCAGAUCAAUACUCAUGUACUGGGAUCCAUUUGAAUCUAAAACUUGAGGGUCGGGGGUGAGGCCAGCAGCCAACCUCUGUAGCAGGAGAGCCAAAGAGCAAGAAGACAUUCACCACUGCAGGCUGCACCCCUUCCAUCGGUGGCUGGGAGGAAGCUGCCACGUUUUUGCUGCCGAGUGUGACUUCCGGAAUGCACUCUUCAUCGGCGCCCCCGAUUCCAAUGGCAUCCGAGGGUAACUUCCAUGCUUGUGUCUGAUUGGAUUUUUGUCUUUUCCCCAAAUUAAAAUACAUUAAAAUAAA